GGUUAAGCGACUAAGCGUACACGGUGGAUGCCCUGGCAGUCAGAGGCGAUGAAGGGCGUGCUAAUCUGCGAUAAGCGCCGGUAAGGUGAUAUGAACCGUUAUAACCGGCGAUACCCGAAUGGGGAAACCCAGUGUGACUCGUCACACUAUCAUUAACUGAAUCCAUAGGUUAAUGAGGCGAACCGGGGGAACUGAAACAUCUAAGUACCCCGAGGAAAAGAAAUCAACCGAGAUUCCCCCAGUAGCGGCGAGCGAACGGGGAGGAGCCCAGAGCCUGAAUCAGCAUGUGUGUUAGUGGAAGCGUCUGGAAAGGCGCGCGAUACAGGGUGACAGCCCCGUACACAAAAGCGCAUGUGCUGUGAGCUCGAUGAGUAGGGCGGGACACGUGGUAUCCUGUCUGAAUAUGGGGGGACCAUCCUCCAAGGCUAAAUACUCCUGACUGACCGAUAGUGAACCAGUACCGUGAGGGAAAGGCGAAAAGAACCCCGGCGAGGGGAGUGAAAAAGAACCUGAAACCGUGUACGUACAAGCAGUGGGAGCACAGGUUUACCUGUGUGACUGCGUACCUUUUGUAUAAUGGGUCAGCGACUUAUAUUCUGUAGCAAGGUUAACCGAAUAGGGGAGCCGGAGGGAAACCGAGUCUUAACCGGGCGUUAAGUUGCAGGGUAUAGACCCGAAACCCGGUG
rnacentral:rRNA from 1 species